GUUUUAACUCAAAAUAUAUUAAUAAAAAAAAAAUCUAAAUUAAAUAAAAAUAUUUGACUUUUUUCAUAUACAAUUUUGCAUAUGUAAAUACCAAGCCCACACUUAUCACAACAUUUGAUUUUAAUAAUGUAUGUGUAAAUGUUGCAAUUAAUUUUAACUAAAAAUCUCAUGUGUUUAAGAAAUAUUUUUCAUUGCUAGUUCAAGUAGAAAUUAAGUUUUAUAAAAUAAUGAAAUACUGCCUAGAAUGAAGGACUUAUUCUUUUAAAAGACAAAAGUCAGUGUCUGAACGCUGAGCUGAAUGUGAUGUUCAUCUGUCUGAGCCCAGAAGCAGAAGUUUGAUGUGUGUGUGUGUGUCUGGCUGUCAGCUCUCGAAAGCCUCCACAUCAAAGCUGCAGACGUGAUUUCCACACGAUUACACAGUCACAAAGUCAUCACUCCAGGGGCUGGAAAGUGCUGAUGAACCCUGUUGUCCGGAGAGGUGCUGGCCUGACGGGAUGAUGGGACGGAGGAAUAAAGCGAGAGCAGUGUGGUGUUCUCAUCUCUUCAGAUCUCAGCACAAAGGCAGUAUGACAGAGAUGAAUCCCUCCCUCUCCCGGACCCUCGCCCCCCCGAACUCCAGGCCCGCUGCUGGGGACGCCUUUGUUCACUUCCCUCCAUUAUGGGGAAAAUAGUGAUACACAGUCAAACCAAAGCCGUGAUUCCCUCUGAGCCUUCUGCUCAUGGUGUCCCAGGUAAACAGCUGACCUUCGUGGAGGGAUUCGGACGGUGCACAUGUUCAUUUUUCAAUCCACUCUUCUUCAACACUGUGAUCACAGCAUUUCAAGCAUCACUCGGCUCUAAAAUCAUCCUGUUUCUCAUAAAGCAGCCUAUCAUUGACCUAUCAGAGACAGACACCAUAUGCAAUGCGGCCAUAAAAUCACUCUGAACAUUAUCAUCCUUCCAAACUGCAGGAAUAUCGCUUCUUGAGUGGACGGAAUUCACAAAGCAUGUUAAAAUAUGCAAAUAAAGGCUCUUAAGAGCUUGCACAGUGGUUGGUUUCAGAGUCGAAUGCUAACGAUUAUUAAUUUGGAGGGGUUUUAAUCUCAACGCACGGAAAAGGGCUCUUUUCUGUGGUCAGGAAUGUUGAUUGGAUUUUGGAACACACACUCAAAAAAAAAAAAUUAAAAACUAUUUCACAUUAGCAAAAUAAUAACCCAAUGACAUGGGUCGAUUGGUUUUCUUUUCACAUAUUAGAUCAACCAAGUGAGAAAUUGGAAAGAAACUGUUGAAGUGUGUUUCUUGACUGCUCAGCGCUGAUAAUGAGUUAAUCCGUGAGUCUGCUCGACUGUCCGAGGUUAGGAUCCACGGGUGUUCGGCGGGUGUUUGAGGGUCACGUAUCCCGACCCACUCCAGAUCAUCCUUCAAGGGCACUCUAACACUGGAGUUUACACUACAUUAGUGAGCACAGCGAAAACCAUUGAUUUUAAUAGGGAUGAGGAUGUCAGUGUUGGGGAAAGAAAUACUUUUUUGUCAGAUUUUUGGCAGGGGGUCAUGCUUUAAAGCCCAGUAAACAUCUUAAACUGGAAACCACUUUUAAAUUAACCACAUUUUUAGCAGACUUUAAAAGAGACUUGUGCAAGAUUUACCAAUGGAGUUAGUGAGUUAAUGAA
rnacentral:lncRNA from 1 species